AUUGAACGCUGGCGGAAUGCUUUACACAUGCAAGUCGAACGGCAGCACGGACUUCGGUCUGGUGGCGAGUGGCGAACGGGUGAGUAAUAUAUCGGAACGUGCCCAGUCGUGGGGGAUAACGUAGUGAAAAUUACGCUAAUACCGCAUACGAUCUACGGAUGAAAGCGGGGGAUCGCAAGACCUCGCGCGAUUAGAGCGGCCGAUAUCAGAUUAGGUAGUUGGUGAGGUAAAGGCUCACCAAGCCGACGAUCUGUAGCUGGUCUGAGAGGACGACCAACCACACUGGGACUGAGACACGGCCCAGACUCCUACGGGAGGCAGCAGUGGGGAAUUUUGGACAAUGGACGCAAGUCUGAUCCAGCCAUUCCGCGUGCAGGACGAAGGCCUUCGGGUUGUAAACUGCUUUUGUACAGAACGAAAAGGUCUCUAUUAAUACUGGGGGCUCAUGACGGUACUGUAAGAAUAAGCACCGGCUAACUACGUGCCAGCAGCCGCCGUAA
rnacentral:rRNA from 1 species